rnacentral:misc_RNA from 1 species
UUUGGUUUUGCUGUUGGGAUGUUAACAGAAUAUGCAACUGGUUCUGACUUUGUGGAUCAAGUUAAGAUCCUUCUCUCAAAUUUUGGGAUACUAGACUUGGAAUGAGGUUCCUCCAUAUCACUAAAUCUUGCCAUAAGAUACUUUCCUUUGUAAUUUUCUGUAAAAGAAAUACAAUUGCUUUCUUUCAAAUUUCAUUUGUUUGAGCCCCUUCAUUGUACUAUAUACAGUAUAGUUAACACACUCCUACCUGUGUUAUUAUUCACGUAAGAA